GAGCAAAUGAUGAGAAACAUUUGGAAAUGAAAACUGAAUGGUGAAUAACCAUGAAGCUUCCAAAAUUCGAGCUUUUUAAAACUGAUGCUCUGCUCUGUUUUCGCUCACUUUAAGUAAUCAUGGGUUUUGUUCAGUUUGUAUAAAUUCCAGGUUGUUUUUCUGGGUUUUGACAUGAAAUUAGGUCUGGGUGUUUUGGUUAUUGCCUUGAGAGAACCGAGCGAAGUAGCGUAAGUGUCGCUCGUGUUCCGUUGCGG
rnacentral:lncRNA from 1 species